CAGUCGCCACGGUAAUACGAGGGGGGCAAGCGUUGUUCGGAAUUAUUGGGCGUAAAGGGCGCGUAGGCGGUUUGGCAAGUUUGGUGUGAAAUCUUCGGGCUCAACUCGAAGUCUGCAUCGAAAACUGCCGGGCUUGAGUAUGGGAGAGGUGAGUGGAAUUUCCGGUGUAGCGGUGAAAUGCGUAGAUAUCGGAAGGAACACCUGUGGCGAAAGCGGCUCACUGGACCAUAACUGACGCUGAGGCGCGAAAGCUAGGGGAGCAAACAGGAUUAGAUACCCCGGUAGUCCCUGUCUCUUAUAU
rnacentral:rRNA from 1 species